ACUCCUACGGGAGGCAGCAGUGGGGAAUUUUGGACAAUGGGCGAAAGCCUGAUCCAGCAAUGCCGCGUGUGUGAAGAAGGCCUUCGGGUUGUAAAGCACUUUUGUCCGGAAAGAAAUCCUUGGCUCUAAUACAGUCGGGGGAUGACGGUACCGGAAGAAUAAGCACCGGCUAACUACGUGCCAGCAGCCGCGGUAAUACGUAGGGUGCGAGCGUUAAUCGGAAUUACUGGGCGUAAAGCGUGCGCAGGCGGUUUGCUAAGACCGAUGUGAAAUCCCCGGGCUCAACCUGGGAACUGCAUUGGUGACUGGCAGGCUAGAGUAUGGCAGAGGGGGGUAGAAUUCCACGUGUAGCAGUGAAAUGCGUAGAGAUGUGGAGGAAUACCGAUGGCGAAGGCAGCCCCCUGGGCCAAUACUGACGCUCAUGCACGAAAGCGUGGGGAGCAAACAGGAUUAGAUACCCGUGUAGUCCCA
rnacentral:rRNA from 1 species